GAUGAAGAACGCAGCGAAAUGCGAUAAGUAAUGUGAAUUGCAGAAUUCAGUGAAUCAUCGAAUCUUUGAACGCACAUUGCGCCCGCCAGUAUUCUGGCGGGCAUGCCUGUCCGAGCGUCAUUUCAACCCUCGAACCCCUCCGGGGGGUCGGCGUUGGGGAUCGGCCCUUUACGGGGCCGGCCCCGAAAUACAGUGGCGGUCUCGCCGCAGCCUCUCCUGCGCAGUAGUUUGCACACUCGCAUCGGGAGCGCGGCGCGUCCACAGCCGUUAAACACCCCAAACUUAUGAAAUGUUGACCUCGGAUCAGGUAGGAAUACCCGCUGAACUUAAGCAUAUCAAAAGCGGAGGA
rnacentral:misc_RNA from 1 species